rnacentral:rRNA from 1 species
UGAAUACGAGAUGCUACGGCGUCGAAGCAGUCUAUGUCAUACUUCCAAGAAAAGCUUGCACUGUCAUAAACAAAUAAUGCCUGUACCAUAACCGACACAGGUGGGUAGGUAGAGUAUACUAAGGGGCGCGAGAUAACUCUCUCUAAGGAACUCGGCAAAAUGACUCCGUAACUUCGGGAGAAGGAGUGCCUUAUUUAUAAGGUUGCAAUAACAAGAUCCAAGCAACUGUUUACCAAAAACACAGGUCUCCGCUAAGUCGUAAGACGAUGUAUGGGGGCUGACGCCUGCCCAGUGCCAGAAGGUUAAAGAAGUUGGUUAGCAUCCGCGAAGCUGAUAACUGAAGCCCUGGUGAACGGCGGCCGUAACAAUAACGGUCCUAAGGUAGCGAAAUUCCUUGUCGGGUAAGUUCCGACCCGCACGAAAGGCGUAAUGAUUUGGAUACUGUCUCGGAGAGGGGCUCGGUGAAAUAGACUUGUCUGUGAAGAUGCGGACUACCUGCACCAGGACAGAAAGACCCUAUGAAGCUUUACUGUAACCUGAAAUUGAAAUUGGACUUUACUUGCGCAGUAUAGGUGGGAGGCGUUGAGAAUAUUCUUGCGGGAUUAUUGGAGCCAUCAGUGAGAUACCACUCUUGUAAUGUUAGAUUUCUAACUUUGUAUCAUUAUCUGGUCAAAGAACAGUUUCAGGCGGGCAGUUUGACUGGGGCGGUCGCCUCCUAAACGGUAACGGAGGCGCACAAAGGUUUCCUCUGAACGGGUAGAAAUCGUAUCUAGAGUGUAAAGGCAUAAGGAAGCUUGACUGUGAGACCUACAAGUCGAGCAGGGACGAAAGUCGGUCUUAGUGAUCUGACGGUGCUGAGUGGAAAGGCCGUCACUCAACGGAUAAAAGUUACUCUAGGAUAACAGGCUGAUCUCCCCCAAGAGUUCACAUCGACGGGGAGGUUUGGCACCUCGAUGUCGGCUCAUCGCAUCCUGGGGCGGUAGUACGUCCCAAGGGUUGGGCUGUUCGCCCAUGAAAGCGGUACGCGAGCUGGGUUCAGAACGUCGUGAGACAGUUCGGUCCAUAUCCGGUGUAGGCGUUAGAAUAUUGAGAGGAGCCUUCUUUAGUACGAGAGGACCGAGAAGGACAUACCUCUGGUGUACCAGUUAUCGUGCCAACGGUAAACGCUGGGUAGCUAUGUGUGGAGUGGAUAACCGCUGAAAGCAUCUAAGUGGGAAGCCCACCUCAAGAUAAGUAUUCUCAUC